rnacentral:tRNA from 1 species
GCCUUCGUGGUGUAGUUGUCAGCCCGCUCGACGCGUAACCGAAAGGUCGGUGGUUCGAUUCCCGGCGAAGGCG